UAGCCAUUCAAGGAAACCACGGAAUUACAAACCCUCAAAGCUGGAGCAUCUGAACUACUAAUACAACACAAUGGUUCAAAGCUCAGCCUUACCAGUUAUUAAAGAGAUGAUCUUUUAAAGACAGUAAGGAGUGCUAUGUUUUUCCUCUGAAAUUAACAAAGAUUUUUUUAAAAGUCAUUAUCCAGGCUGGGCACAGUGGCUCACACCUGUUAAUUCCAGCACUUCAGGAGGCUGAGAUAAGAAAAUGCUGACAAUCCUGAGAGAGGAAGUUACUUGCCCAAGGUCACAAAAUCAGCCCAUACAGCUCCUGAAGCCCAGCCUGGAGCUCUGGAAAGCUAUAGAAAAGGGGAUUUGAUUUGCAACCAAGGUUUUUGAAGCACAGCUCUUCCAUAAGUUGCAGAAGCUCUAUAAAUACAACUGUAAAUGCGUGGUGUGCUUAAUCACAUGCCUUACACUGCCUUGUAAGUAAUCACCACAAUGGCAUUUUACCAAAAAGUUUCAAAGCAAAAUAAUGUAAUUUCCUUUCUCAAUAAUUUUGAGAACUUUUUGUCCUUUACAAUAAAGAAAAAAGAAAAGAGAAAAAGAGAA